UUGUAAAAUGUAAAGGUAAUCAUACAAGUCGUAUGUUUUCCAUAUUAAUCUUAUGAAAUCAUAGUUUUGUUACUUUUCUAGUCAUCAUAAGAUGAAUCUUAUGAAUUUCGCUAUGCAUUUUGCCUUAGCGUAGGAUAAAGCAAUUAGCGCUGGAUCUAAAACAUGAGUCGAUGAUGAUCGAGUUGCACUUUUUGUUGCCAACGAACGGAAAACAAAUAAAUAAUUGAAGAAAUUUUUCUCCUCAAAAUAUUUGAUUAUUUCUGCUGCCUCUGCACUCCUUGCUGUCGUUCGAUUCCGUUCACGUGGCUUCGACGUGCUGCCUCGUGGAUCGGCAACUCGUUGGUAGCGAGCCGCGUGGCUUGUUUCGAUAUUCCACCUGUUGCUAUGGGCCUUGGUUGCCUCUAGAUGACCUCGCAUCUGCGUGGUGACUUCAGGAAACUAUUCAGUCAUGUCAAACUGAGGCUUCCAAUAGUCAACACCGGUGAAACAACGUCAUCUCGGUUAUUGACUUCAGAUACAUCGAGCAAUACGGAACAUUUGAACAAGACUGUAGCUUACCCGAGCUCCGAGCCACUACAAUUCCAUUUGACUUUAGUCAUACCGGCUGGAAUAUAAUAUAGAAUUCUGGCUGUCUAAGAGACAAGUAUUUUAAUUGUGCAUUCAUUUUUUUUUGUUUUUUGUUGAUGAUUAAUUCAUUUCAAAUAUAUUUGUAGUUGGGACUAUGGCCACAUUUGCAAUUAUGGUGCCACUGACAUAUGAGCAAGCGUAUGGGGGAUAGACCACUAGUGAAUAAUUGUUCUUAAACCUGAGGGGUAACCACCCAUAUUGAUGGUGGUUUUAAGUGUUUUGUUACCAGCCGCCAUCUUGGAUUUCAAAA